GGGCUUGUAGCUCAGGUGGUUAGAGCGUACGCCUGAUAAGCGUAAGGUCGGAGGUUCGAGUCCUCUCAAGCCCACCA
rnacentral:tRNA from 2 species